rnacentral:rRNA from 1 species
UACGUAGGGUGCGAGCGUUAAUCGGAAUUACUGGGCGUAAAGCGUGCGCAGGCGGUUUUGUAAGACAGGCGUGAAAUCCCCGGGCUCAACCUGGGAAUGGCGCUUGUGACUGCAAAGCUGGAGUGCGGCAGGAGGGGGAUGGAAUUCCGCGUGUAGCAGUGAAAUGCGUAGAUAUGCGGAGGAACACCGAUGGCGAAGGCAAUCCCCUGGGCCUGCACUGACGCUCAUGCACGAAAGCGUGGGGAGCAAACAGG